rnacentral:rRNA from 1 species
CGGGUGAGUAACGCGUGAGGAACCUGCCUCAAAGAGGGGACAACAGUUGGAAACGACCGCUAAUACCGCAUAAGCCCACGGCUCGGCAUCGAGCAGAGGGAAAAGGAGCAAUCCGCUUUGAGAUAGCCUCGCGUCCGAUUAGCUAGUUGGUGAGGUAAUGGCCCACCAAGGCGACGAUCGGUAGCCGGACUGAGAGGUUGAACGGCCACAUUGGGACUGAGACACGGCCCAG